GGAAAAGGGAAGUUCUCCAACUGAGUUGCUCUCUGAAGCUAUCCCGGUGACCAGCAAGCACUCAUCCCGCUUCUAGAAGUCAACAAGGAUACACUGAACCUGCUUCUGAUUUCUUUAGGGUCGACAAGUGCCCCCAAUGAUUUAUGGUACAACUUCAUUGAACUGCCCUACCACGGGGAAAGCAUCAGCAUGCUGAUUGCACUGCCGACUGAGAGCUCCACUCCGCUGUCUGCCAUCAUCCCACACAUCAGCACCAAGACCAUAGACAGCUGGAUGAGCAUCAUGGUGCCCAAGAGGGUGCAGGUGAUCCUGCCCAAGUUCACAGCUGUAGCACAAACAGAUUUGAAGGAGCCGCUGAAAGUUCUUGGCAUUACUGACAUGUUUGAUUCAUCAAAGGCAAAUUUUGCAAAAAUAACAAGGUCAGAAAACCUCCAUGUUUCUCAUAUCUUGCAAAAAGCAAAAAUUGAAGUCAGUGAAGAUGGAACCAAAGCUUCAGCAGCAACAACUGCAAUUCUCAUUGCAAGAUCAUCGCCUCCCUGGUUUAUAGUAGACAGACCUUUUCUGUUUUUCAUCCGACAUAAUCCUACAGGUGCUGUAUUAUUCAUGGGACAGAUAAACAAACCCUGAAGAGUAUACAAAAGAAACCAUGCAAAGCAACGACUACUUUGCUACGAAGAAAG
rnacentral:sRNA from 1 species